UCCAACUUUGGUUGGCUCACCUAACCACCAUUAGAGAGACACUUUCAAGUCAUCAUAUGAUGAGUGAUAAUUUCAUUAGUCAACAAGCACCGGACCUUUGGGUCUGCAAUGAUUAUUGAGUUAAUGGACUCAUUAUCAAACACCUUAAUGGGAGGCUAUGACUCAGUUAUCUCCAUAACUUUAUCAUUUUAAGGACCUAAUAAUUUUAGAAGAUUUAAAUAAUUUAGAGGAUG
rnacentral:lncRNA from 1 species